GCUGGCGUAGCUCAAUUGGCAGAGCAACUGACUUGUAAUCAGUAGGUUGAGGGUUCAAUUCCUUUCGCCAGCUCCA
rnacentral:tRNA from 1 species